rnacentral:rRNA from 1 species
UACAGGGGGUGCAAACGUUGCUCGGAAUCAUUGGGCGUAAAGCGCGCGUAGGCGGUGUUCUAAGUUGGAUGUGAAAGCCCUCGGCUUAACCGAGGAAGAGCAUCCAAAACUAGAUCACUAGAGUGCCAAAGAGGGUCGCGGAAUUCCUGGUGUAGAGGUGAAAUUCGUAGAUAUCAGGAGGAACACCGGUGGCGAAGGCGGCGACCUGGGUGGUUACUGACGCUGAGGCGCGAAAGCGUGGGGAGCAAACAGG